rnacentral:rRNA from 1 species
UAGGGAAUCUUCGGCAAUGGGGGCAACCCUGACCGAGCAACGCCGCGUGAGUGAAGAAGGUUUUCGGAUCGUAAAGCUCUGUUGUAAGAGAAGAACGUGUGUGAGAGUGGAAAGUUCACACAGUGACGGUAACUUACCAGAAAGGGACGGCUAACUACGUGCCAGCAGCCGCGGUAAUACGUAGGUCCCGAGCGUUGUCCGGAUUUAUUGGGCGUAAAGCGAGCGCAGGCGGUUUAAUAAGUCCGAAGUUAAAGGCAGUGGCUUAACCAUUGUUCGCUUUGGAAACUGUUAAACUUGAGUGCAGAAGGGGAGAGUGGAAUUCCAUGUGUAGCGGUGAAAUGCGUAGAUAUAUGGAGGAACACCGGUGGCGAAAGCGGCUCUCUGGUCUGUAACUGACGCUGAGGCUCGAAAGCGUGGGGAGCAAACAGG